rnacentral:rRNA from 1 species
UACGAAGGGGGCUAGCGUUGCUCGGAAUCACUGGGCGUAAAGGGUGCGUAGGCGGGUCUUUAAGUCAGGGGUGAAAUCCUGGAGCUCAACUCCAGAACUGCCUUUGAUACUGAAGAUCUUGAGUUCGGGAGAGGUGAGUGGAACUGCGAGUGUAGAGGUGAAAUUCGAAGAUAUUCGCAAGAACACCAGUGGCGAAGGCGGCUCACUGGCCCGGUACUGACGCUGAGGUGCGAAAGCGUGGGGAGCAAACAGG